AUAGCUUCACUUUCUUGAGCUACUCAAGAUAGUCUACUUGAUACUUUGAGCCUUUAGUGGAACUAUUUAAGUGAAGCCAGAAAGAUGUUCCUCUCGCUAUCCAGUGGGACGAUUGUAUUUCAUUUGGACGUUGGGGAACGAUAUUU
rnacentral:snoRNA from 1 species